UUGUUUGGUGACAAAUUCUUUUAGCUGCUGCUUAUCUAAAAGUGUCAUUCUUCCUUUAUUCUUGAAAAAUGGUUCCAAAUAGUUACUUUCUCUUACUAUGUGGUCAGCAGAAUAAUGAUCCCAUCCCAAAGUUGUCCACACCAUAAUGCCUGGAACCUGUUAAUAGGUUACAUUACAUGGCAAAAAAAAAACUUGUAGAUAUAAUUAAGGCUAUUGACCUUUGAAAAAGAGUAUACUGGAGUAUCCAGGCGGGUCCAAUCUAACUAAAGGGGACUUUCAAAGCAGAGAACUUCCAGUGCCUUCAGUCAGAGAUAUGUAGCAGCAUCAAGAGAGAUACAGCAAAAGGGAAGAUCAAAAGAUUUCAAGCAUGAGAAGACUUUGAGGUUCUAUUGCUGGCUUUAGAUAGAGGACCAGAGAGAGGCCUCCAGGAUCUAACAGCUAUCCCCAAGCUGACAGCCAGCAAAGAAACAGGAACUUCAGUCUUACAACUGCAAGGAAAUGGAUUAUGCAAACAAUCAUAUGAGCUCGAAAGUGAAUUCUUCCCAGAGCCUUCCAAUAAGAGCCCAGCUGAAAUCAAGACAGCUUGAUUUCAGCUUUGUAAAACUCAGAGCAGAGAAACAAGCUGAGCCCACCUGGACUUCUGACCCACAGAACUAGUAAGAAGGAGUCCACAAGCCGAGGCUGGACCAAUUGUUGGAAGUCAGAGUCCUGGAGGCCUUCAGGACAGACCCCAGCCAAUCUACGCAGAGCAGCCUGGGGAGAAGACAGAAGAUGUGACACAUGUCAGACUGGGCCAUGUCAGGGAAUGGCAAGAAGUUGGAGGGCUAUUUCCCACCAAAGAACAGAAGUAUGGCUUCCUGCCCGGAAUAUAUCUGCUGAAUCUCAGAGUGGACUCUACAAUGCAUCUUCAUCAGGAUGAAAUAAAUGGAAGACUCCUUGGCUCCAGGGAGAAACUCAGCCUGGGAAGUGAAGCAAGAAUGAAUAUAUGACAAUAGUGAAAGGUCACUUGGACUAUAUGUACUUUGUUUAUUUGAUAAUGUUUAUACAUUGAGAAAUUUUCUAUAAAAUUUACAAAUUUUGUCU